GUCACAAAUUGAUCAACUUCUUGACGUUGUAAAAUUUAUAUGUUAAAUUUGUAUUAACAACAAUCUGUUGUUAAUUAAAAAAAUAAUUAAUCCUGGAUUUUAAUUUAAGAAGAUUUAGAUCAAUGCGUAAAUAUAAAGGACAUGUAUUUCAUUUACUCCAGGAAGAAAAAGUAGAGGUACCAGAUAUGUGGUUAUCAACAGCUGAAGCCUCCAGUCUUGGUGCUGAGGAGGUUGCUGCAAAACUUCAUGUUGAUACAAGAACAGGUCUUUGGUGGCAAGAAGCUGAACAACGAAGAUCACUUGUUGGACACAAUGAAUUAACAGUUAAAGAUGAAGAACCAACAUGGAAAAAAUAUGUUGAACAAUUUAAAAAUCCUCUUAUUUUAUUGCUUCUUGGUUCAGCAUUUGUUAGUGUUUGUAUGAAACAAUAUGAUGAUGCAGUUAGUAUAACAGUAGCAAUAAUAAUAGUUGUAACAGUUGCAUUUGUUCAAGAAUAUCGUUCAGAAAAAUCAUUACAAGAAUUAACAAAAUUAGUACCACCAACAUGUCAUUGUCGUCGUGAGGGUAGAGUUGAAUCAUUUUUAGCACGUGAUUUAGUACCAGGUGAUAUUGUAUUAUUAAAUAUUGGUGAUCGUGUACCAGCAGAUAUACGUAUUUAUGAAGCAAUUGAUUUGGCAAUUGAUGAAAGUAGUUUAACUGGUGAAACUGAACCAUCACAAAAAUCAACAGCACCAUUAUUAAAAACAAAUGGACAAUCAUCAAAAAAAAAUAUUGCAUUUAUGGGUACACUUGUACGUUGUGGUAAUGGUAAAGGUAUUGUUAUAAAUACAGGUGAAAAAAGUGAAUUUGGUGAAGUAUUUGCAAUGAUGCAAGCUGAAGAAGCACCAAAAACACCAUUACAAAGAAGUAUGGAUAUACUUGGUACACAAUUAUCAUUUUAUUCAUUUUGUAUUAUUGGUUUUAUAAUGUUACUUGGUUGGAUACAAAAUAAGCCAUUACUUGAAAUGUUAACAAUUGGUGUUAGUUUAGCUGUUGCUGCAAUACCAGAAGGUUUACCAAUUGUUGUAACAGUAACACUUGCACUUGGUGUUAUGAGAAUGGCUAAAAGAAAAGUUAUUGUUAAAAAAUUACCAACAGUUGAAACACUUGGUUGUGUUAAUGUAAUAUGUUCAGAUAAAACUGGUACAAUAACUAAAAAUGAAAUGACAGCAACAAUAAUUGUAACACCUGAAGGAUAUACUGCUGAUAUAACUGGUACUGGUUAUAAUGAUAAAGGUGAUGUACGUAUACGUAAAUGUGAUAAUAAUGAUUUAGCACGUAUAUCAAUGACAACAUUACUUGAAGUUGGAUCAGUAUGUAAUAAUGCAAUAAUACAAAAUGAUACAUUACUUGGACAACCAACUGAGGGUGCUAUUAUUGUUGCUGCAAUGAAAUAUGGUCUUUAUGGUGUAUCUGAUAAAUAUUUACGUUUACAAGAAUAUCCAUUUUCAUCUGAACAAAAAAUGAUGGCUGUUAAAUGUACAUCAAAAUAUACUGAUGAUAGACAAGAAAUUUUUUUUGCAAAAGGUGCUAUUGAAAAAAUAUUACCACAAUGUACAAAAUAUUCAUCAAAUGGACAAUUAUAUCCAUUAAAUCAAAAAAAAGAUCAAGAAUUUUUAGCUGAAGCACAUGAAAUUGGUUUACAAGGUUUAAGAGUUAUUGGAUUAGCACGUGGUACAUCAUUACAAGAUUUAGUAUAUGUUGGUCUUAUUGGAAUAUGUGAUCCACCAAGAGAUGGUGUACGUGAUUGUAUUAGUUUACUUGUUAAUAGUGGUGUUAAAGUUAAAAUGGUUACUGGUGAUGCUAAAGAAACAGCAAGUGCAAUUGCAAGUGCAAUUGGUCUUGAUACAUUACACAUGAGAAUAAUGUCUGGUGAUGAAAUUGAUACAACAAAUGAACAUGAAUUUGAACAAAUUAUUGAUAAUGUAUGUGUAUUUUAUCGUGUUACACCAAAACAUAAAUUAUCAAUUGUUAAAGCAUUACAAAAAUGUGGUCAUAUUGUUGGUAUGACUGGUGAUGGUGUUAAUGAUGGUGUUGCAUUAAAAAAAGCUGAUAUUGGUAUUGCAAUGGGUAAAAAUGGUACAGAUGUUUGUAAAGAAGCUGCUGAUAUGAUACUUGUUGAUGAUGAUUUUAAAACAAUUAUUGCUGCUAUUGAAGAAGGAAAAGGUAUAUUUUAUAAUAUUAGAAAUUUUGUUAGAUUUCAAUUGAGUACAAGUAUAUCAGCAUUGGCACUUAUUGCACUUGCAACAUUAAUGGGUAUACCAAAUCCAUUAAAUGCCAUGCAAAUAUUAUGGAUUAAUAUUAUUAUGGAUGGACCACCAGCACAAAGUUUAGGUGUUGAACCAGUUGAUAAAGAUGUUUUAAAACAAAAACCAAGAGAUACAAAAGAACCAAUGAUUACUAAAAAUUUAAUAAUCAAUGUUUUAUUGUCAGCUGUUAUUAUUAUUCUUGGUACACUUUGGGUAUACAAUCGUGAGAUGACAUCAAAUGGAAUUACUGCUCGUGAUACAACAAUGACAUUCACUUGUUUUGUAUUUUUCGAUAUGUUCAAUGCACUCAGUUGUCGUUCACAAACAAAAUCAAUAUUCAGCAUUGGAUUUCUUAGCAAUAAAAUGUUUUUAAUUGCUGUUACACUCUCAGUUGUUGGUCAAAUGUUGGUCAUUUAUUUUCCUCCACUUCAACGAGUUUUUCAAACAGAAGCACUCACAGCAAAAGAUAUUGUAUUUUUGGUGGCAUUGACAUCAAGUGUAUUUAUCAUAAGUGAAAUUAAAAAAUUCCUGGAACGACAAUGGGAACGCAGACGUGCAAGUGGACGGUACUACAAAUGCAAGAAGGCGAAAUCAAAUUGCUCGCCAACCGAAUUCAUUGAAAAAAAAUAAGAAAAACAUUUAAAAUAUAAUUUUAAAAAUAUAAGAAAAUAGUAAAUUAAUAAAUGGAAAUUACGGAAUAUUGGAUAAUCAACAAUGCAUGGAAUAUAAUUGGAAUGCAAUUAACACGAGCUGGACUCAUCAGCAACUUCAUUAAAAUCAACAUUAAACACAAUAUAAACUAAUGAAAAUAAAAUACUAAUAAAAUAAUAAUCAUUCGCAGGAUAAAAGUCAAUGAAUUCCUUCAAGUGCACUGUAUGUACGAUAUUCAUAUAAAUCAGCUCCUCCAUAUCCAUAAAGAAGU
rnacentral:misc_RNA from 1 species